rnacentral:rRNA from 1 species
GCACAAGCGGUGGAGCAUGUGGUUCAAUUCGACGCAACGCGAAGAACCUUACCCAGGCUUGAACAGCGAGUGACCACUCACGAAAGUGAGCUUCCGCAGGGACACUCGUAGAGGUGCUGCAUGGCUGUCGUCAGCUCGUGUCGUGAGAUGUUGGGUUAAGUCCCGCAACGAGCGCAACCCUUGUCUGCUGUUGCCAUCACGUUAUGGUGGGCACUCUGCAGAGACUGCCGGUGAUAAACCGGAGGAAGGUGGGGAUGACGUCAAGUCAGCAUGGCCUUUAUGUCUGGGGCUACACACGUGCUACAAUGGCAGAUACAAACCGUCGCGAGACCGCAAGGUGGAGCUAAUCGGAGAAAGUCUGUCUCAGUUCGGAUCGUCGGCUGCAACUCGCCGGCGUGAAGUUGGAAUCGCUAGUAAUCGCGGAUCAGCACGCCGCGGUGAAUACGUUCCCGGGC